rnacentral:lncRNA from 1 species
AGAUUACACAUUAAAAAAAAAAAACAACCUGAGUAUGUGUGUGUGCAGGAAAGAAAGCAAAUUUUGUUUGUACUCAUUUGUACAUUGCAUUACCAUAAGUUUUACCCUUUCCAAAUAAUAUGCAGAUGGAAAAUUAGGGAACAUGCUGCUGUAAAUCAUUGUUAGUGCUUUGGUGGUGGCAGGAGAAAGCAGUUAAGGGAUUCAUUUUUCUUCCAAGAAAAUAAUUCUUUUUAAAUCCAUCUGAAUCACAGCCAAAGGAUUACUUCUUAUCUGGCUAUAAUAAAUACUCUUUCCACCCAUCUUGUAUGUAAUAAGAAACCACCUCACUGGACUAAAAAGUACCAUGUACUCCAGGGUCAGCUACAGUUGCCCAGCUUUGAAAUAGGCACCGUGGCUUGUGUUUUUAUUGGGGAUAGGUGAACCACAGACUGGGAUGUGGUUCUUGCUUUUAGACUUCCUGCUUGAGCAAUUUCUAAAUGAGUCUGAGCAUUCAGAUUCAGUUCUUUAUGGCCCUUCUGGUGCUAUACUUUUGAACUUGUGAAAAGGAUAACAAGAAGGUACUCUGUUCUCCAGGAUGUGGGAAAGACCUAGGAAAUGACAGAGGUGGUGUUAGGAUUUAUGACUCCCCUAUCUCCCCAGAGGAAUUCCUCCUGGGAGCCCAGUAAAUCAUCUAUGCUACAACGAUGAAUGAAAAAAGGAGAAAUGAAGUAAAUUAACUCACCUGAGCCUUCAGCUGAAAUUUCUUCGACCUAGGUAUAGGGGAUAGAACAAUUGAAGAGAGGCCUAGAGUCACAGAGUUCACAAUUACAUUUUCUCACCAUCUGGCCAUGAUGACAGAGCUGUAAGAAUCAUGAUGAAAUCUAUGUGCCUGCAAAUGUAUAUGCACGUUCAGCAUUCAUUUAUGGCUCUGAAUCAUUUCCUUUCAUUAAUGUAGACAUUUUCUAGUAUUAUGAAGGUGAAAAUUCUUAGAAUUUAGAAAUACAGUGAGAGUUACACAUGUCAUUUGAAGUUUUCUUGUAACCCCAUUUUUUAAAAUAAAAAUAAAAAAUAUUUUAAUAGUAAUUAUCAACCAAUAUUUGUAAAAUAUUGCCAUUUCAAUGUGAUAAAUAUGGAAAUUAUUAAUAAAAUAUUUUACUUUUUUAAAACUAAAAAAAAUAAUAAUUAUUAUUAAAAAAAAAAGACUUCCAAGGGAAUGAACGACAUGAAAACCAAUUUAGCUAGGGAAGAAAAAUGUAAGAAAGUUAAGCAAGUCUGUAUUUUCAUUGCUAUAACAGAGAUUAAAGCCAGAUGCAAAAAUGAUAUUAAUUUUUCAGGAGAGAAGACUAUGACUCCUUUUAUAUCACCAAUACAUAGUUAAGGUAAUUAUCCUUCAGUAAUUUCAUGAUGAAAUAUUGAGCUAUGGCAUUUCACCUUGAUAUUUACUUCCUGAAGGACACAGCUACCUGACUGGUGUCAUUUAUAUUGUAGAGUCACUUAUGGUGUAAAAGGGGUAGAGAAAUAAAAAUCAUAAACACUUUUUUUUAGUACAACAAUGGCUUGACCUACACAAGAGUAAUAAUUUUGAUUUUAGGUUUGCUUUUUGGGAAACAAAAAGAAUCAGAACAUUCACCAAUCAAUUAAUUUAUCCUUCAGAUAAAUUAAAUCAAUGGACAGAUUUUUAAGGCAGGGAACAUCUUAAUGAGUUUAAAAGUCAUGUUUAGCAUAUUCUCAGAAGAAAUUGCUUCUCAUUAUUAACUACUUUUUGAAACUGGCAUUAAGCAUAACUUUCCUGCAUUUUCCAGCUUUGCUAAAAGACAUUGUGGAGUUUGGCUGAGGAAGUAUAUAGAAGUAGCUGCUCAGAUUUCCCCCUUAAUGGAGAGACUUAAGCUUGCUUCCUUGCUUGCUUCUAGUAACUUAUCGGUAGCAUAGACUGAUAAAAUCACAGGUGAAGAAAUAAAAUACCAUCAGCACCUAGAAGUAUCUUUUAUUACUCCUAACAGUCACCAAUAUCACCUCUUCCCAUAUAGUCUGUACACUUCCAGCACUAUAGAUUAGUUUUGUCUAUUUUUAUAUAAAUGGAACUAUUAAGAUAUGCAAUUAUUUUUUUCUGACUUUUGUUGUGAUAUUUUGUGGGUAGAAUUCAUUCAUGUUAUAGUUUUGGAUACUGUUUAUUGUAAGCAUAUAUCAAAAUUCUUAUAUAUAACUUCACUGUUAAUGGAGAUUUUGUUUUUUUCUGACAAGUUCAGUACAAGCAAUGCUGCCAUGAAUUUUCUGUUAUGCAAAUUCUGAUAAAUGGUUAUAUAUUUAAAAUGGAAAUUAAGGUCAUAGUGAUUAUGUGUAUGAAGGUUUUGUAGAUAUUGACAAGCAAGUUUUCAACAAUGAUGUAACAUUAAUAUUCCUUCGAAUAAUAUGGGAGAGUUCCAUUUUUUCCACAUUUUUAGUCAUGCAUGGUAUCUUCACUUACCAUUCUGAUUUGUGUACAGGUUAAGUAUGGUUUCAUUGAGAUUUAAAUAAUAACUAAUAAUGAUGAUUUUUUUCUGAAAUUUAUUGAUUAUGUGGACUCUUUCUUUUGAAGUGAUAAUACAAAGCAAUUUCCCCCUUUGGACAGCCUUUUUAUUUUAUUUUAUGUUUUUAAGAAUUGUAGGACUAGACUCUUCUUUUGCAAGUAUGUUUUCCACCUAAUGACUUCUUUACCUUUCUUAUGAUGUCUUUAGUUAAAUCAAAG